rnacentral:rRNA from 1 species
AACGCUGGCGGCGUGCCUAACACAUGCAAGUCGAGCGGUAACAGGUGUAGCAAUACAUGCUGACGAGCGGCGGACGGGUGAGUAACGCUUGGGAAUCUGCCUAUUAGUGGGGGAUAACUCGGGGAAACUCGAGCUAAUACCGCAUACGCACUACGGUGGAAAGCUGGGGACCGCAAGGCCUGGCGCUAAUAGAUGAGCCCAAGUCGGAUUAGCUAGUUGGUAGGGUAAUGGCCUACCAAGGCGACGAUCCGUAACUGGUCUGAGAGGACGACCAGUCACACCGGAACUGAGACACGGUCCGGACUCCUACGGGAGGCAGCAGUGGGGAAUAUUGGACAAUGGGCGAAAGCCUGAUCCAGCGACGCCGCGUGGGUGAAGAAGGCCUGCGGGUUGUAAAGCCCUUUCAGUGGGGAAGAAAAGCCUCGAGUGAAUACCUCGGGGUCUUGACGUAACCCAUAGAAGAAGCACCGGCUAACUCUGUGCCAGCAGCCGCGGUAAUACAGAGGGUGCGAGCGUUAAUCGGAAUUACUGGGCGUAAAGCGCGCGUAGGCGGCUUUGCAAGUCGGAUGUGAAAUCCCCGGGCUCAACCUGGGAACUGCAUUCGAGACUGCAUUGCUAGAGUAUGGGAGAGGGAAGUGGAAUUUCAGGUGUAGCGGUGAAAUGCGUAGAUAUCUGAAGGAACAUCAGUGGCGAAAGCGACUUCCUGGACCAAUACUGACGCUCAUGUGCGAAAGCGUGGGGAGCAAACAGGAUUAGAUACCCUGGUAGUCCACGCCAUAAACGAUGAGAACUGGAUGUCGGGAGGGUUCUGCCUCUCGGUGUCGUAGCUAACGCGUUAAGUUCUCCGCCUGGGGAGUACG